rnacentral:rRNA from 1 species
CUGCGGAAGGAUCAUUGUCGAAGCCUACAAAACGAAA